UUCUCUCCUCUCACUUCCUGCGCCUCCAUUCCACUCCCAACGUCUCUCUCUCCCUCUCUCAACUCCCUCAGCUUCGCCGGAACUCCGCCAUGGCUCGUCGGCCUCGACCGGACCAGCGGUCAGCCUCCACCGGCGUCCCCCUUCUCUCCUCUCUCGUUUCUCCCUCUCUCGGUCAGCCGCUGCCCAACUUAGGCUCGGCCUUCAUCCAGCGACGAGCUGGUCCUUCCAGCCGCCGCCUGCCACCACCGCCGCUGCAUACACGGCGGUCUCACCGCCGUCGCCAUCCGCCGUCGACCGAGAGAGUUGUAGAAACGGAUAGAUCGUGAAAAGAGGAUCGAAAAGAAAAUAAAUUUCGUUGUUGCUCGCCGGACAGCCACCGGAACGCCGCCGGACAGCCGCCGGAGCUCCGUCGACGUCGCCGGGCAGAAUCUUCGGCUUGAGGAUCAUGAUUUGAAGAAAAAGGAUGGCAUCUCGGGAAGCCAUUAUUCUUCUUUGUAUAGAUAUAGAAACAUGUAGUAUUUUUCUCACUUGUAUAGAAGAGACUCUAUUAUGUAUAAAUAGACAUUCAAUAUAUACUUCUACUAUAAUUGUAUAUGGACAAUUAUUUCAUAA